rnacentral:rRNA from 1 species
AAUCAACGCUGGCGGCGUGCCUCAGACAUGCAAGUCGAACGAGAAAGUCCCCUUCGGGGGAUAAGUAAAGUGCGCACGGGUGAGUAACACGUAGGUAAUCUACCUUCGGGUGGGGAAUAACCCAGGGAAACUUGGGCUAACACCGCAUAAUGCAGCGGCACCACAUGGUGACAGUUGUUAAAGCGGGGGAUUUUCGGACCUCGCGCCUGAAGAGGAGCCUGCGGCGGAUUAGCUAGUUGGAAGGUACGCUUACCAAGGCAACGAUCCGUAGCUGGCCUGAGAGGGCGGUCGGCCACACUGACACUGACAUACGGGUCAGACUCC